CGAGUGAAGCUGUGUCCAAAGAGGGGAACCAAGGAAGACAACACCACUCCUCACUCGGAAAGAGAAGAAUUUCCCCUUAGCGAAGCAUCAUGGCUUUCACACCAUAUCGUAGAUUGAGAGGAUCAUACGAACCUGAGACCAAGAUUAUGUUGUGCGCUAUGCUUUCUGGAGUUGUUAUACUCCCUCUGAUAUUAUUCCUUGAAUGCCAUUAUGAGUACAAGUCAAUGGAAAGUUUGAAACCUGUUUGUUUCUGGAGAAAUGACUCUGACAUGAUGAACAAUUCUUCAAUACCCCCAGCCCAAUUAGGCCUUAGCCCCUCAUCUAGCACUCGUCACACACGCUCCCUCAAGAACCUUUCUCCACCACCUAUCUAUCAGCAUGUAAUAUGCAAGCACUCAUUGACUGAACACAUAUGGAUGAACUGGAUAAAUAAUAACCCUUAUAAGUACCAGUUACCCAUAUGGAAUGUGUCCACAGCUAAUGAAACCGAUGCAUUAUGUUUGUUUGAAGGUUCACGGAAAAUUGUUAGAUCUUAUAACGCAGAAAUGUGCACAGUUAAGGUUGCUAAUUACACCAGCAUCUGUGCCACCUUAUUUAAUAUAAGUUCUGAUGGUAAAAAAAACCCACCUAAACAGGUUUGGGAUAUAUAUUAUAAGAAAAUUAGUAAGGUUGCAUAUCAAUGUAAACAGACAGGCCUUAUUAUUUUUAAUAAUGAUUAUACAACUGGUACCAUUAAUUGGAAAAGGGGACAAAUGUUAGUCAUUAUGAAUGACACUGCGAUUGAGAACUGUACACUAUCUUAUAUUUUUACACCUUAUUACUGUCCUUCAUCCACUAUCAUAGAACCAAAAGUCAACCACGACACACACACACCUAUUCCGUCCACAUGUGUUAAUACAACUGCCUUCUUACAAGCUGUACAUGUGUCAUUAAAAAUCACUACUCCUGUUGUAACAAUAUGUAACACAGCAAACAAAAG